UGGGGAAUAUUGGACAAUGGGCGCAAGCCUGAUCCAGCCAUGCCGCGUGAGUGAAGAAGGCCCUAGGGUUGUAAAGCUCUUUCACCGGGGAAGAUAAUGACGGUACCCGGAGAAGAAGCCCCGGCUAACUCCGUGCCAGCAGCCGCGGUAAUACGGAGGGGGCUAGCGUUGUUCGGAAUUACUGGGCGUAAAGCGCGCGUAGGCGGCUUGCCAAGUUGGGGGUGAAAGCCCGGAGCCUAACUCCGGAACUGCCCUCAAAACUGGCAGGCUAGAGUCCGGGAGAGGAGAGUGGAAUUCCCAGUGUAGAGGUGAAAUUCGUAGAUAUUGGGAAGAACACCAGUGGCGAAGGCGGCUCUCUGGACCGGUACUGACGCUGAGGUGCGAAAGCGUGGGGAGCAAACAGGAUUAGAUACCCCUGUAGUCC
rnacentral:rRNA from 1 species